UGAACGCUGACAGAAUGCUUAACACAUGCAAGUCAACUUGAACUUCGGUUUGGGUGGCGGACGGGUGAGUAACGCGUAAAGAACUUGCCUCACAGACUGGGACAACAUUUGGAAACGAAUGCUAAGACCGGAUAUUAUGAUUUCAUUGCAUGAUGANGUCAUGAAAGCUANAUGCGCUGUGAGAGAGCUUUGCGUCCCAUUAGCUAGUUGGAGAGGUAACGGCUCACCAAGGCNAUGAUGGGUAGCCGGCCUGAGAGGGUGAACGGCCACAAGGGGACUGAGACACGGCCCUUACUCCUACGGGAGGCAGCAGUGGGGAAUAUUGGACAAUGGACCAAGAGUCUGAUCCAGCAAUUCUGUGUGCACGAUGAAGUUUUUCGGAAUGUAAAGUGCUUUCAGUUGGGAAGAAGAAAGUGACGGUACCAACAGAAGAAGCGACGGCUAAAUACGUGCCAGCAGCCGCGGUAAUACGUAUGUCGCAAGCGUUAUCCGGAUUUAUUGGGCGUAAAGCGCGUCUAGGCGGCUAGAUAAGUCUGAUGUGAAAAUGCGGGGCUCAACUCCGUAUUGCGUUGGAAACUGUAUAGCUAGAGUACUGGAGAGGUAAGCGGAACUACAGGUGUAGAGGU
rnacentral:rRNA from 1 species